UGAGGAAUAUUGGUCAAUGGGCGAUAGCCUGAACCAGCCAAGUCGCGUGAGGGAAGACGGCCCUAUGGGUUGUAAACCUCUUUUGUCGGGGAGCAAGGUUGCUACGAGUAGCGAUUUGAGAGUACCCGAAGAAAAAGCAUCGGCUAACUCCGUGCCAGCAGCCGCGGUAAUACGGAGGAUGCGAGCGUUAUCCGGAUUUAUUGGGUUUAAAGGGUGCGUAGGCGGGAGAUCAAGUCAGCGGUAAAAAUGCGGGGCCCAACCCCGUCGAGCCGUUGAAACUGGUUUUCUUGAGUGGGCGAGAGGUAUGCGGAAUGCGUGGUGUAGCGGUGAAAUGCAUAGAUAUCACGCAGAACCCCGAUUGCGAAGGCAGCAUACCGGCGCCCAACUGACGCUGAGGCAC
rnacentral:rRNA from 1 species